rnacentral:rRNA from 1 species
AAUGGGCGGAAGCCUGAACCAGCCAUGCCGCGUGCAGGAUGACGGCCCUACGGGUUGUAAACUGCUUCUCCCCGGGAAGAAUAAGCCCCUCGUGAGGGGUGAUGCCGGUACCGGGGGAAUAAGGAUCGGCUAACUCCGUGCCAGCAGCCGCGGUAAUACGAAGGAUCCGAGCGUUAUCCGGAUUUACUGGGUUUAAAGGGUGCGUAGGUGGUUUGAUAAGUGAGCGGUGAAAGUUUGCAGCUUAACUGUAAAAAUGCCGUUGAAACUGUCGGACUUGAGUGUAAAUGAGGUAGGCGGAAUGCGUGGUGUAGCGGUGAAAUGCAUAGAUAUCACGCAGAACUCCGAUUGCGAAGGCAGCUUACUAAGCUACAACUGACACUGAAGCACGAAAGCGUGGGGAUCAAA